AUCUAUCGCUGCCAACCUAUCUAUCGCUGCCAACCUAUCUAUCGCUGCCAACCUAUCUAUCGCUGCCAAUUUAUCUACCACUGCCAAUCUAUCUAUUGCUGCUAAUCUAUCGCUGCUGUCAAUCUAUCUAUCACUGCUAAUCUAUCUAUCGCUGCUAAUCUAUCGCCGCUGCCAAUCUAUCUAUCGCUGCCAAUCUAUUGCUGCUGCCAAUCUAUCUUUCGCUGCUAAUCUAUCGCCGCUGCCAAUCUAUCUUUCGCUGCUAAUCUAUCGCCGCUGCCAAUCUAUCCCUCGCUGCUAAGCUAUCCCUCGCUGCUAAGCUAUCCCUCACUACUAAGCUAUCUAUCACUGCUAAUCUAUCGCUGCCAACCUAUCUAUCACUGCCAAUCUAUCUAUCGCUGCUAAUCUAUCGCUGCUAAUCUAUCGCUGCUAAUCUAUCGCUGCUAAUCUAUCGCUGCUAAUCUAUCUAUCGCUGCUAAUCUAUCGCCGCUGCCAAUCUAUCUAUCGCUGCCAAUCUAUUGCUGCUGCCAAUCUAUCUUUCGCUGCUAAUCUAUCGCUGCUGCCAAUCUAUCUUUCGCUGCUAAUCUAUCGCCGCUGCCAAUCUAUCCCUCGCUGCUAAGCUAUCCCUCGCUGCUAAGCUAUCCCUCACUACUAAGCUAUCUAUCACUGCUAAUCUAUCGCUGCCAAUCUAUCUAUCACUGCCAAUCUAUCUAUCGCUGCUAAUCUAUCGCUGCUAAUCUAUCGCUGCUAAUCUAUCGCUGCUAAUCUAUCGCUGCUAAUCUAUCGCUGCCAACCUAUCUACCGCGGCGAAUCUAUCUAUCACUAUCAUUACUAGUUCAAAAUAGAACUAGAGCAUAAAUACACUAAACUUCUUUUGAUAGGUAAUGAUUUUUGGUAACACUCAUAGCAUUAUAUCAUCUAUAUAGGGUAAAUCAUGGUCCCAUUUGGUCCCAUUUUAACAAAAUGGGACCAAAUGGGACCAGAAUCAGUAAUUUAUAAGAAGAACAUGACCUGGGACUAGAUUUAUAAUAUAAACAGUGUAAAGUGACUAAUUUAAUAAACACUAUAUGAGACCAGAACUAAGAAAUUUGAUAAUGGGAC
rnacentral:sRNA from 1 species